rnacentral:tRNA from 1 species
GCCCGGGUGGCGGAACAGGUAGACGCAAGGGACUUAAAAUCCCUGGGCCGAAAGGCUGUGCGGGUUCAAUUCCCGCCCCGGGUACCA